AACAUGCAGCGGCGGAUUCGGGAUGUGAUCCAAGCGCCGGACGGCGCACUCCUGGUGCUUGUCGAUGCGCAGCAAGGUGACCUCCUGCGUCUCACUCCCGCAAAGCCGCAAUAGUCGAGCAGGCAAUCGGCCCGGCAGUGUUAGGCAGUGUCCUCGGGGCGGUCCUCGUCCGUUCGCAUCUGAAUCUGUGUUUU
rnacentral:misc_RNA from 1 species